UACGUAGGGUGCGCGCGUUAAUCGGAAUUACUGGGCGUAAAGCGUGCGCAGGCGGCUUUGCAAGACAGGCGUGAAAUCCCCGGGCUCAACCUGGGAAUUGCGCUUGUGACUGCAAAGCUGGAGUGCGGCAGAGGGGGAUGGAAUUCCGCGUGUAGCAGUGAAAUGCGUAGAUAUGCGGAGGAACACCGAUGGCGAAGGCAAUCCCCUGGGCCUGCACUGACGCUCAUGCACGAAAGCGUGGGGAGCAAACAGG
rnacentral:rRNA from 1 species